AAUGAACGUUGGCGGCGUGGAUUAGGCAUGCAAGUCGAGCGCGAACCCAGCAAUGGGUGAAAGCGGCGGAAGGGACAGGAAUGCGUAGGUUACGUACCCUUGGGACUGGAAUAGCUGCGGGAAACUGCAGGUAAUGCCAGAUAAUAUCUUCGGAUCAAAGGUGUGAUUCCGCCCAUGGAGCGGCCUACGUCCUAUUAGUUUGUUGGUGGGGUAAUGGCCUACCAAGGCUUUGAUGGGUAGCGGGUGUGAGAGCAUGACCCGCGUCACUGGGACUGAGACACUGCCCAGACACCUACGGGUGGCUGCAGUCGAGAAUCUUCGGCAAUGGGCGAAAGCCUGACCGAGCGACGCCGCGUGCGGGAUGAAGGCCUUCGGGUUGUAAACCGCUGUCAAUGGGGAGGAAGGCUACGUGAAGAGCGUAGUUUGACCUAUCUUUGGAGGAAGGACGGGCUAAGUUCGUGCCAGCAGCCGCAGUAAAAC
rnacentral:rRNA from 1 species